rnacentral:rRNA from 1 species
AGCCCGCCGCGUGAGGGAUGAAGGCCUCUGGGCUGUAAACCUCUUUUAUCAAGGAAGAAGAUCUGACGGUACUUGAUGAAUAAGCCACGGCUAAUUCCGUGCCAGCAGCCGCGGUAAUACGGGAGUGGCAAGCGUUAUCCGGAAUUAUUGGGCGUAAAGCGUCCGCAGGCGGCCCAACAAGUCUGCUGUUAAAAAGUGGAGCUUAACUCCAUCAUGGCAGUGGAAACUGUUGGGCUCGAGUGUGGUAGGGGCAGAGGGAAUUCCCGGUGUAGCGGUGAAAUGCGUAGAUAUCGGGAAGAACACCAGUGGCGAAGGCGCUCUGCUGGGCCAUCACUGACGCUCAUGGACGAAAGCCAGGGGAGCGAAAGGGAUUAGAUACCCCUGUAGUCCUGGCCGUAAACGAUGAACACUAGGUGUCGGGGGAAUCGACCCCUCCGGUGUCGUAGCCAACGCGUUAAGUG